rnacentral:rRNA from 2 species
AGGGAUCAUUACCGAGUACUAUAACUCAUAACCCUUUGUGAACCUUUAUACCUGUUGCUUCGGCGGCGCGCCUCCCGGGGCGUGCCCGCCGGCAUUAUCAGAAUCUCUGUUCGAACCCGACGAUACAUCUGAGUGUUCUAAGCGAACUGUUAAAACUUUCAACAACGGAUCUCUUGGCUCCAGCAUCGAUGAAGAACGCAGCGAAACGCGAUAUGUAAUGUGAAUUGCAGAAUUCAGUGAAUCAUCGAAUCUUUGAACGCACAUGGCGCCUUCCAGUAUCCUGGGAGGCAUGCCUGUCCGAGCGUCGUUUCAACCCUCGAGCCCCCGUGGCCCGGCGUUGGGGAUCUGCCCAGGCAGUCCCCGAAAACCAGUGGCGGACCCGUUGGGCCCUUCCUUUGCGUAGUAACAUCUGCCUCGCAUCGGGAGCCUGCGGGCUAUCCGGCCUCUAAACCCCCCUCAAGCCCGCUCCGGCGGCACCAAGGUUGACCUCGGAUCAGGUAGGAAUACCCGCUGAACUUAAGCAUAUCAAUAAGCGGAGGAAAAGAAACCAACAGGGAUUGCCUCAGUAACGGCGAGUGAAGCGGCAACAGCUCAAAUUUGAAAUCUGGCUCCUUCGGGGCCCGAGUUGUAAUUUGCAGAGGAUGCUUCGGGUACGGGUUCCUUCCGAGUUCCCUGGAACGGGACGCCAUAGAGGGUGAGAGCCCCGUCUGGUAGGACACCCAGCCCGUGUGAAGCUCCCUCGACGAGUCGAGUAGUUUGGGAAUGCUGCUCUAACGGGAGGUAUACUCCUUCCAAGGCUAAAUACCGGCUGGAGACCGAUAGCGCACAAGUAGAGUGAUCGAAAGAUGAAAAGCACUUUGAAAAGAGAGUCAAAUAGCACGUGAAAUUGUUGAAAGGGAAGCGCUCGCUACCAGACAUGGGUUCGGCGGUUCAACCGGGGCCACGCCCCGGGGCACUCCGCCGGCCCAGGCCAGCAUCAGCUUUCCGUCGGGGGCAAAGACGUCGGGAAUGUGGCUCCCCUCCGGGGGAGUGUUAUAGCCCGGCGUGUCAUACCCUUCGGGGGGCUGAGGUACGCGCUUCUGCAAGGAUGCUGGCGUAAUGGUAGCUAGUGACC